rnacentral:rRNA from 1 species
CCUACGGACAGCAGCAGUGGGGAAUAUUGGACAAUGGGCGAAAGCCUGAUCCAGCCAUGCCGCGUGUGUGAAGAAGGCCUUCGGGUUGUAAAGCACUUUCAGUGGGGAAGAAAGCCUUGGGGCUAAUACCCUCGAGGAAGGACAUCACCCACAGAAGAAGCACCGGCUAACUCCGUGCCAGCAGCCGCGGUAAUACGGAGGGUGCGAGCGUUAAUCGGAAUUACUGGGCGUAAAGCGCGCGUAGGCGGUCUGAUAAGCCGGUUGUGAAAGCCCCGGGCUCAACCUGGGAACGGCAUCCGGAACUGUCAGGCUAGAGUGCAGGAGAGGAAGGUAGAAUUCCCGGUGUAGCGGUGAAAUGCGUAGAGAUCGGGAGGAAUACCAGUGGCGAAGGCGGCCUUCUGGACUGACACUGACGCUGAGGUGCGAAAGCGUGGGUAGCAAACAGGAUUAGAUACCCUGGUAGUC